CCCCUAGAUGUUCUGGGCCGCACGCGCGCUACACUGAACAGUUCAACAAGUCUUAACCUUGGCCGAUAGGUCUGGGUAAUCUUUGAACGCUGUUCGUGAUUGGGAUAGACCUUUGCAAUUAUGGGUCUUCAACGAGGAAUUCCUAGUAAACGCAAGUCAUCAGCUUGCAUUGAUUACGUCCCUGCCCUUUGUACACACCGCCCGUCGCACCUACCGAUUGGAUGGUCCGGUGAAGCCUCGGGAUUAUGGUUCUUGCCGCUUUAUUGUGGCGUGACCGCGAGAACUUGUCUAAACCUUAUCAUCUAGAGGAAGGUGAANUCGUAACA
rnacentral:rRNA from 1 species